UACAGAGGUCUCAAGCGUUGUUCGGAUUCAUUGGGCGUAAAGGGUGCGUAGGCGGCGCGGUAAGUCGGGUGCGAAAUCUCGGAGCUUAACUCCGAAACUGCAUUCGAUACUGCCGUGCUUGAGGACUGGAGAGGAGACUGGAAUUUACGGUGUAGCGGUGAAAUGCGUAGAUAUCGUAAGGAGGACCAGUGGCGAAGGCGGGUCUCUGGACAGUUCCUGACGCUGAGGCACGAAGGCCAGGGGAGCAAACGGG
rnacentral:rRNA from 1 species